CAGCAGCCACGGUAAUCCGAAGGGUGCAAGCGUUACUCGGAAUUACUGGGCGUAAAGCGUGCGUAGGUGGUGGUUUAAGUCCGUUGUGAAAGCCCUGGGCUCAACCCGGGAAUUGCAGUGGAUACUGGGUCACUAGAGUGUGGUAGAGGAUAGUGGAAUUUCCGGUGUAGCAGUGAAAUGCGUAGAGAUCGGAAGGAACAUCUGUGGCGAAGGCGACUAUCUGGGCCAACACUGACACUGAGGCACGAAAGCGUGGGGAGCAAACAGGAUUAGAUACCCCGGUAGUCCCUGUCUCUUAUAC
rnacentral:rRNA from 1 species